CGCUCCGGGUCCACGCUCAUGCACACACCCACACGCCCACACUCAGGGUCU
ensembl:miRNA